GGUUCAGGACGAACGCUGGCGGCGUGCCUAAUACAUGCAAGUCGAACGGUCUUUCUAUGGAAGCUUGCUUCCACUGAGAAGAUAGUGGCGAACGGGUGAGUAACACGUGGGUAACCUGCCCAUAAGAGGGGGAGUAACAUCCGGAAACGGGUGCUAAUACCGCAUAGUUUUCUUGAUCGCAUGAUUGAGAAAGGAAAGACGGCCUUUGUGCUGUCGCUUAUGGAUGGACCCGCGGCGUAUUAGUUAGUUGGUGAGGUAACGGCUCACCAAGACGAUGAUACGUAGCCGACCUGAGAGGGUGAUCGGCCACAUUGGGACUGAGACACGGCCCAAACUCCUACGGGAGGCAGCAGUAGGGAAUCUUCCGCAAUGGACGAAAGUCUGACGGAGCAACGCCGCGUGAGUGAAGAAAGGUUUUCGGAUCGUAAAACUCUGUUGUCAGAGAAGAACAAGUUGGAGAGUAACUGCUCCAGCCUUGACGGUAUCUGACCAGAAAGCCACGGCUAACUACGUGCCAGCCGCAGC
rnacentral:rRNA from 1 species